CGGGCGACGCGUCGGUCUAAGUCCCUUGGAACGGGGCGUCAUAGAGGGUGAGAAUCCCGUAUGUGACCGGGACCGAGCCCAUGUGAAACUCCUUCGACGAGUCGAGUUGUUUGGGAAUGCAGCUCAAAAUGGGUGGUAAAUUUCAUCUAAAGCUAAAUACCGGCCAGAGACCGAUAGCGCACAAGUAGAGUGAUCGAAAGAUGAAAAGCACUUUGGAAAGAGAGUCAAACAGUACGUGAAAUUGUUGAAAGGGAAGCGCUUGCAACCAGACCUGCCCGCGGGCGAUCAGCCGUCCUUCUGGGCGGUGCACUCGCCCGUGAUCAGGCCAGCAUCGGUUCGGGCGGCCGGAGAAAGGCCUUGGGAACGUAGCUCCUCUCGGGGAGUGUUAUAGCCCUCGGCGCAAUGCGGCCAGCCCGGACCGAGGACCGCGCUUCGGCUAGGAUGCUGGCGUAAUGGUUGUAAGCGGCCCGUCUUGAAACACGGACCAAGGAGUCUAACAUCUAUGCGAGUGUUUGGGUGUCAAACCCAUACGCGUAAUGAAAGUGAACGGAGGUGGGAACCUCUCGGGGCGCACCAUCGACCGAUCCAGAUGUCUUCGGAUGGAUUUGAGUACGAGCAUAGCUGUUGGGACCCGAAAGAUGGUGAACUAUGCCUGAAUAGGGUGAAGCCAGAGGAAACUCUGGUGGAGGCUCGCAGCGGUUCUGACGUGCAAAUCGAUCGUCAAAUUUGGGCAUAGGGGCGAAAGGUGGGCUUACUUCCUAGCGACUGUUGAUGAAUA
rnacentral:rRNA from 1 species